UUCAUCCUUUCAUAUUCGUUGGGGUCUCUGUUCCCAUGAAUCAGGGAUAUUUCACAAAUAUCUUGAUUUGUUUUAUCAUUCAUCCCUAUGUCUAGUGAUGACAUGGGGAUGAAUGAAUCAAAAUCUGUGGCCUUUUAGAUAUUGAUAGGCCAAAGCUUUUUUCAUCCCUAACCUCCAUAACGACUAAAGAAGAAUAACUGGAGAAGCGGUCCACCAGUGAUCUAGAGGACCCAAGUUGCUCAUCCCUUCAGAAGGAAAAGUGAGGCUACUGUCAUGCUGGCUAGAGAAUUCAAUUUGUAGUAAAGAAAAAAGAGAGAGGAACAAUUUCAAGGUCUGUGUAUGUAUGGCAACUCCUGAUACUUACAUAAUUCUCUGGUUUCUAUCUUGCUUUAAAGAAUGUUGGGGUACUUAUACCUUUCACCAUAAGACUGCUCCGUGAUGGUUGGUUCUUCCUCUCUGUGUGGCGUAGAGGAUCUGUUACCAAGGGGCAGCCAUUUGAUGGCAUCUCUAUUAACAGAUGUAAUAAGUGCUCCAGCUCUUCAAACUCAAAUGAAGGAACAGAGCAGAAAUGUCUUGUCUCAGUUCCUCUCCACAAAUGGGUUGACUGUUUUCCUGUAUGAAAGUCUGAAGAGUGAUUGAGAACAUUUAUUGUUUAUCCACCAGCUUAGAAACUUAUUGAGCCAGAGCUGGGAAACAAACCACUUUCCCGUAUCAACUGUCAGUUUGGUUUCUCAUCACUGAAUAGCCAACAGGAAAAAAAGAAAUUGAUUUUUUUUCCUCUUGCCUCCUGUAUUAUGAGAACUGUUUGGGGUUCUCAAGACACAUUCUCAGGGAAGUUAUAUUUAGACAUAAAUUACCCUCGCCCCAGGUUCUUAAGUGAAUUUAUUCUCUCUGGAAGUCC
rnacentral:lncRNA from 1 species